GCCCAGGUGACUCAAUGGCAAAGAAUCUGCCUGCCAAGCAGGAGAUGGCUGCCAAAUAGGAGUCAUGGGUUCAGUCCCUGGGUA
rnacentral:tRNA from 1 species